AGAAUUAUUUUAAUUUGUUUUCAGGGUUCCAGCACAUCAUAUCGGAACAGCAAACAGCGGUCCAGUGAAGAUCAGGCGUGACGUCAUCGACAAUCUUCUCGGGUCAUUUACGUCCACGAUACCCACAACGACCACAUGAAUGAUUAUGUGGAGUCUAAACUCUUGAGGUCAAAAACCUUUAUCAAGAAGAAUAUAACAUUGAAAACUCUUCGGGAUGGGACUCCACCAAGUCCUAAAGUAGGCAAUUACAUCGCCCAACACAAGCUGAGACUUCAGCACGGCGAUCAGAUUGUCUCGGAGAAAGAGGAAGGUUAGUUUUUAAUUGCUCAUUGCUCUUCAUCGACCUCAUGGGUGUCGAAACAAUGGAUGAUGUAUCAGGUACGGCGUCAACAACCCAGGAGGAGAUGAAGAGCGGGAGCAAAACACUCUCAUAUUUGAGAGCGUUUCUCGAGGAUGUGGCCAGCAAGGGUUCCAGCACAUCUUAUCAGAACAGCAAACGGACCCAUUAUUUACACGAGAUAAAGAAGACGACUCCAGCAAUGAAGAUGCAUGAACUCCAGCAAUUUUAUCAAACCUGCAAAAAAUCUAGCAGAAUAACUAUGUAUUUUAUGAAAUAAAGUUUUAAAUUGU